rnacentral:rRNA from 1 species
UACGAAGGGUGCAAGCGUUAAUCGGAAUUACUGGGCGUAAAGCGCGCGUAGGUGGUUCAGUAAGUUGGAAGUGAAAUCCCCGGGCUCAACCUGGGAACUGCUUUCAAAACUGCUGAGCUAGAGUACGGUAGAGGGUGGUGGAAUUCCCUGUGUAGCGGUGAAAUGCGUAGAUAUAGGAAGGAACACCAGUGGCGAAGGCGACCACCUGGACUGAUACUGACACUGAGGUGCGAAAGCGUGGGGAGCAAACAGG